rnacentral:lncRNA from 13 species
AACAUCACAGACCGUCUGGUCUCUACAUAUCUAAGUAAGUGAUGUUUGUUUGCCUAAACUUGUUUACUAUGUGAUUUAAAAAAAAAAAAAAUCUAGUAACCAUGUUACCCUAUUGUUCUGUGUUUUAAAGAAAAUUUAUUUUUUUACACUGUGAGUGACUUACGAGUUGCAGACAUCCAGGUUAUUUUCAAUAUGUUCUGCAUCACCAUAUUAUCCAUAGUAUUUUUACAGGUGUACCAUCAGAAAACAAUGGUGUCUUUAGCCGUGGUGUAGACCUUGUAUUGUUUCAGGUUUCCUGGUAGAGAUGUUUCCUGCAUUGAUGAAAGUGAAUAAGGUUAUUUGCAAUUGUCCAGGUUGAAAAGUUAUCUUGUCAAGACAACAAUGUGCCUCUAACUAGGUUGUUGACUUUGAACAUCUGAAUGUUUCCAGAUUCCAAUUAAAAGAUUAUUGAAAACCUCCCUAUGGUACUGAAGGCAAGAUUUUUCUUGCAUCCAAGUACAAGAUGAUGUUGGUACCAAAGCUGAUAUCCAGAGAAGAUUUCAUCAUGUUGCCCAGGCCGAUCUUGAACUCCUAGGCUCAAGUGAUUCACCGUCCUCAGCCCCUCAGAGUGCUGGGAUUACAGGUAUGAGCCACUGUGCCCGGUCCACAGUCAUGUUUUAUUGUAUCCAUUUCUUUCUGUUCAAUUUCUACACAAUGACAUUUUCACCUGGAGUCUUAAGCUGUUUAUUAAAUAGUUUAACAUUUAAGAGUUAGCAAUAUAGACAUCCGUUAUAUAAAAUGUGGUUGUUCAUAAGGAAAACUAGGCUAUAGGUACGGUCAUUAGAGUGUUAAAAGAGCCAAGGGAGUGAAAUACUGGAAAACACACUAUGGAUAUAAACAUUUGUACUCUCACUUUCCUGAUAUAAAUAGAUAUUAGAUGAUAC